AACGAACGCUGGCGGCAUGCCUAACACAUGCAAGUCGAACGAGACCUUCGGGUCUAGUGGCGCACGGGUGCGUAACGCGUGGGAAUCUGCCCUUGGGUUCGGAAUAACAGUUGGAAACGACUGCUAAUACCGGAUGAUGACGUAAGUCCAAAGAUUUAUCGCCCAGGGAUGAGCCCGCGUAGGAUUAGCUAGUUGGUGGGGUAAAGGCCUACCAAGGCGACGAUCCUUAGCUGGUCUGAGAGGAUGAUCAGCCACACUGGGACUGAGACACGGCCCAGACUCCUACGGGAGGCAGCAGUGGGGAAUAUUGGACAAUGGGCGAAAGCCUGAUCCAGCAAUGCCGCGUGAGUGGUGAAGGCCUUAGGGUUGUAAAGCUCUUUUACCCGGGAUGAUAAUGACAGUACCGGGAGAAUAAGCCCCGGCUAACUCCGUG
rnacentral:rRNA from 1 species